GUGAAUCAUCGAAUCUUUGAACGCAAAUUGCACUCCCUGGUAUUCUGGUGAGGAUGCCUGUUUUGUUUUAGGUAGGAUAAAAAAUCGAUGCGUCGCUCUUUUUUUUAAGGGUGAUCGCGUCGGAAUUUAUCCGUCUUUCAUAUGUUAAUUCAUGUCAAAGUGGCUUGAAAUUCAUCCAUCCGUUACGAUUGAAGCGUGUUUAAGAUCAAUUUUGAUUGAGAACGCUCGAUGACGUACCAUCG
rnacentral:misc_RNA from 1 species